UUGUGCCUGCACGUGGCCUCCUUUCCCAGAGCUGUUGUGGGCUCACUUUCCGCCUGCCGUCCAAAUAACACACGUGUGUCGUCCAUUUUCCACUUGCAGGGUUCCUCACCCCCCAGGCGCCAAGAACGAGGCCAAAGGUGGGGGGGGGGGGGGAUAGUGGUGAGUGUUGCUGCACUAGGAUACGGGAGACCCUGUUUGGAGCCGCCGCCCUCCUCCUCCUCCGCGCAGCCGAGCGGGGCUGGGGCGCAAGAUGGCGGCGGCGGCCUGGCGGCGGCUGCUGACGCGGGCUCCAGGCGGGCCGUGGCGAGGCCUGGCGGGUGGCGGCGGCGGCGGCGGCGGGGAGGAGGCGCCUUCGGCCGCCCCGCGCUACGGCCUGGCCUACACGUGCGGGGUGUGCGGGCGGCGGGCAGCGCAGACGGUGUCUCGGGCGGCCUACCACCGCGGCCUGGUCAUCGCCACCUGCCCCGGCUGCCGCAGCCGCCACCUCAUCGCCGACAACCUCGGCUGGUUCUCCCAUUUGGCCGGCGGCAGCAGAGUUCCUGGCUGCUGGCUCGCAGUGUCCUGCUGCUGGUGUGUUGAUUCCCUUGGAGAAGAGUACAUAACAUCCCACCCCUGUGCCACAGAUGACUCACUGUGGGAGCAUGACCUGUGAUACACAGUGUCAGACUCUCAAACGUGGAAAUAACAGAAACCAUAGGAAAGUCCAAAAGCAGUUUAUUCCAGGAACAUUGAGGAGAUCCUGGCAGCUAAAGGGGAGACAGUGAAGCGUGUCAUUGUGGACGGUGCCUUGGAACUCUUCCUUGAGAACUCUGACUCGGUCAGAUCACCAAGCCAGACCACAGGAGGUGAUGGAGAAGAUUCUUUGGGGCCUGGAAAAGAUCCAGUGUGAUCAUGGAUUCAUUUCUUUGGACAGGAAGACCUCUGUUUUUGCAAUAUAAAAGACUGUGGAAACCUU